AAAAUUUUAAGUUAUAAUUAAACUAUAAGCCUUCAAAGCUUAACUAAUAAUCUUCAUUUAUAAAUUUUA
rnacentral:tRNA from 1 species